CGGCCCCGGUUCGCCCCCCGAGACCGGGUUACUCUGACGGCCCGCAUCCAUCCCCCCCCGAGAUGCGGGCCGUCCUAU
rfam:Corynebacterium glucuronolyticum ATCC 51866 genomic scaffold SCAFFOLD6, whole genome shotgun sequence.